AUUGAACGCUGGCGGCAGGCCUAACACAUGCAGGUCGAGCGGAUGAAGGGAGCUUGCUCCUGGAUUCAGCGGCGGACGGGUGAGUAAUGCCUAGGAAUCUGCCUGGUAGUGGGGGAUAACGUCCGGAAACGGGCGCUAAUACCGCAUACGUCCUGAGGGAGAAAGUGGGGGAUCUUCGGACCUCACGCUAUCAGAUGAGCCUAGGUCGGAUUAGCUAGUUGGUGGGGUAAAGGCCUACCAAGGCGACGAUCCGUAACUGGUCUGAGAGGAUGAUCAGUCACACUGGAACUGAGACACGGUCCAGACUCCUACGGGAGGCAGCAGUGGGGAAUAUUGGACAAUGGGCGAAAGCCUGAUCCAGCCAUGCCGCGUGUGUGAAGAAGGUCUUCGGAUUGUAAAGCACUUUAAGUUGGGAGGAAGAGCAGUAAGUUAAUACCUUGCUGUUUUGACGUUACCAACAGAAUAAGCACCGGCUAACUUCGUG
rnacentral:rRNA from 1 species